rnacentral:lncRNA from 1 species
AAAGAGAGCUUAAAAAACAACAACAACAACAACAAAAAAAACACUCCCUUGUAGCUUCCCUAUUGGUCCAGUGGUUAACAGUGUGCUGCCAAUGCCAGUGCAGAAUGUGGGCUUGAUUUCUGGUCUGGAAAGACCUCACAUGCCAUUGGGCAACUAAGCCCUUGUGCCACAGCUACUGAGCCCAUACAUUCUAGAGCCCGUGCUCUACAACAAGAGAAGUCACCACAGUAAAAGGCGUACACACUGCAAGUAGAAGUUAUCCUCCACUCACUGCAACUGGAGAAAGCUUGGGGCAGCAAUCAAGACCUAGCACAUCCAAAAAUAGAUAAAUAAAACUUAAAAAACCAAGUUGGCACAGAGUUGUCAACUGCCAAGAAGCUGGCGAUCAACCAAGGCUGGUUCUACUGGGUGACUCCUCAUGCUGGCAAGUGUCAAGUGCCCACGAGAGAGACCCCUGGUCUAUAAUUCCGGAGCUCAGUGGGGAGGAAACAGCUUACUGGCAUCUGUUAGCAAAUAGAGGACUUCCUUAUAUGUCCCCUCUGCUCUAAUCAGACAGCAUUUGACAUCUUUCCUGUUCAUGCUCUGUUAAUUUCCAUCUCAGGAUUUCCUGUAAGUUUAUCCUUUACCAGAA